rnacentral:lncRNA from 1 species
CGCCACGAAAUCGACGGCGUAAAGCUAUUUUGUGUAUUUAGCAUGCUUAACCAAAUACAUCAUUAAAUACGGCAGGUUUCAAACUUUAACUACGUUAUUCAUUUAAGAAUGAAAAAAUAGAAUUUCCUUGAUUAUUUGAUUGGGAAAGAUGAAAAAACGUGCCGCGGCCGUGACACUUCUCGGUAAAUAAAUGUAAAUUGAAAUGACACACGGAAUGGUAACGUAUUUUCCUUUAUAGGGAUGAUACCUCCUGAUAUUAUGAACAUGAAAUGCCUAUUGAUACAAAAACUCGCCAGGUAAAACGGCAUUGUGUCAAUUCAACAGGCCCAAAACUAGCGACCGGCCAAAGGGAGAUAACUCGAAUGAAAAGUCGUUGAAGGGACGGCUGAUCAGAAACGAGAGAAAAUAACCAUUUCGCUCAAUUUUAGUAAGUGAAAGAGUUCAUUCUGGGGUAAAAUAUCCAAUAAUUUAUCAGUGUGCGAAGGAAAAUGUGUAAAUAUGAAAAAUACCUUGGAUAUUACAAUUAAUCAUUGGAAUGAGGGCACCUGUCAGGUAUCAAGACCCAAACAGUGAGAGAAAGUAUAAUAGAAUGUAUGUCUGCUUUGGUAAAUCACUAUUUAAUUACAUAUUGCAUUAAAAUAUCUGAUAAUCAUCUAGAAAUCGGGGAAAUUGCAAAUAUUAUUACAUAUUCAGUUUAAAAAAUAUAUUACUACAGCUUCAGAAGAAAUAUAAAAAAAAGUUUUCUAUAUGGUUAUUUUUUUACAUAAAGUGAGGGGUUUUGGACCAGUAAAUUGUUAGAAAAAAAAUACUUGCCCAAAGCUUUGGUGUUAAAAUUCCAUCAUUAAAGGGGGGAAUGUUGCAGAAUAUUCCCUGAUUGCAUGUGUAUACCUCUAUUUUGUUAUGUAUAUAUAUACUUUGAUGGAAAUAAUUAUUUCAUGGCAUACUUUUUAGAAGAAUCAUAAAUUAUUAUUCUUGAAUACACAUAAAUUCUUCAUUUUGAUUCAGCAUUCAGUGAUGCAGAAACAUAUUGUUUCUUAGUAGAUCUACAUAAAAAUAUAUUUUAUAAAGAUUAUGGGUAUAAAAUGUACAAUUUUGCUGUUAUAUAUUCUAUUCUAGAAUAAUGUUUUUAGAGAAUUUCUGUUAAGUUAAGACCCAAUGUCAGUUAUAUCUGUGAACUUAUUAAAUGUUUAUUUCCAUUCUAAAUAUGUUUAUCUAUGCAAGUAAUUAUUUUAAUAUGUGAGGCCUAUUAAUGAUGAACACUGAAAUGUAACAACUUCUAGUCACUGGCGAUAGGAUAUCAUAUAUACCCUUGACAAUUUUGAUUAAAAAUUGAAUUAAUCAAAGUACUCUAUAAGAAGGCUUUACCAAAAAUGUAAUUUCUAUGUGUUUGUAAGUAGCAAUAUUACAAAGUAAUAAAAAUUUAGAAAAAAUAAUAAAUAAUAAAAACAAAAUCAGGGCUUUAUUUCAUUUUGUAUUGAGAGACUGAUUAAAAAAGUAAAAUCUAUUCCUGAAAAAAUAGAUGUCAUAAAAAUAUUGCAUUUUAUAUUGAACUUUGUUCUCUGCAGUGGUUUUUCAUUCUAACUAUAUAUUUAGAUUUGGCCUGAUAGUGACACUGUCAUGUGUUUUGUUGUGUGCUGUCUCAUUUUAGAAAAGGGGUUAUAUUGUAAAAUAUAAAAUUCUGAAAUGUAGUAGUUUAAACUUUCUGUUUUUUUUUUUAAAUCAUUUGGCUUAGGAGAUAUUAUAUAAAUCUAAGCAUAGAAUAUGGAUACCCAUACAGUCCUCUUGAGUCAUGUCUGUUUAACAUUUAAGAUAAAGUAAAUUUUAUAUUUUUCUAGAAUAAAGUAAAACUGAAAAUAGCUUUCUCGCUAAUUAUAUGUAAUUCAGUGGGAUAGUAAUGCAUGUACUCAAAUUAAAAAAAAAAAACAAUCACAACAUUCAACAGCUUGAGCCAUGGAGUGUGAAAAAUAAUUUAUAUAAUGAAUAUAACCUUUUUAUAUAAUUCAUAUAAUAUAUAGUAUAAUAUAUAUUGACAUAAUGUUCUCAAAUAAUAUAUACCAUAUGAGACAUAUGAUAUAUAACCAUUUCUGGUAACAUAUAUAUAUAUAUAUAUAGACUGAAAUAUGUGUAAUAAUGAAGAAUUAAAAAAAAAAUACCAUGUUGACCUGAUAUAUAAAUCCUCAAUCAUCAAAUGCAGGUGCAUGCAGCUUAACAAUUGUAAAAAAAGAAUGAACUAGACUAAGUAUUCAUUAAUAGAGAUUAAUUUACUAAUAGGUAAACUGGAUGCAGAUUGAACAAUCAUCUAUGGAACAAUUAUUGAAUGACUGCUAGAACCUGGAAGAUGAAUAGGGAACAAGCACAAGCAAUAUUAUAUUAUGAAGUGAUAUCAUCUUCAUUCAUUUGAAAUUACAUCUGAAAGCUACAAAAUAAGGAUCUGACUCUCUUCAAACUGUUUUCCUCUGUUAUUUAUCUAUGAUAUAUCUGAUCUCAGAAUGUUUACACUGGACAUGUCAUUCUUUCACUGAUUCAGGACAAAACCUGACAAGUGUCACAAUAAUUUACACCUGGACUUCCCAAAAAAUAAUGCACUGCUAAAGGGAUGUUAUUGGGAGGUUUGUGUACAUUUUAUUACAUGUUUAAUGCGCUGAAUUCAUAACAUUUGUGUGAUUUAUAUGAAAGUAAAACAAAUUUUGUUCAUUUUUAGUAUUUUUGUGUACUGGGGCAUGAAAAAGGGAAAUAAAUUACACAAAAAAUAACAGAUUUUGUUCAUUUCAAAUGACAUGUUGACUGUCUUUUCAUUAGUGGCAAGUCUGUCAUAUUUCGGAGCUGUUUUAGUCAAGAGCAGAG